AUUCCAUGAUGAAUACUUCACGUGCUAUUGCUGUAAACAGUGUUCUUGUCUUCCUGAGUGAUGAGACUGCAGACUUGUACCACCCCGCUCAAUCAAUGUUUCUGAACUAGACAGUCUCUCGCUUAUAAAUGGGACCGGCGGUGAGGCCUAU